GAUGAACGCUGGCGGCGUGCUUAACACAUGCAAGUCGAACGAGAAUCUAUGGAUAGAGGAUUCGUCCAAUUGAAGUAGAGGAAAGUGGCGGACGGGUGAGUAACGCGUGAGGAACCUGCCUAGGAGUGGGGAAUAACAGUCCGAAAGGACUGCUAAUACCGCAUAAUGCAGUUGGGUCGCAUGGCUCUGACUGCCAAAGAUUUAUCGCUCUUAGAUGGCCUCGCGUCUGAUUAGCUAGUUGGUAGGGUAACGGCCUACCAAGGCGACGAUCAGUAGCCGGACUGAGAGGUUGGCCGGCCACAUUGGGACUGAGACACGGCCCAGACUCCUACGAGAGGCAGCAGUGGGGAAUAUUGGGCAAUGGGCGCAAGCCUGACCCAGCAACGCCGCGUGAAGGAAGAAGGCUUUCGGGUUGUAAACUUCUUUUAACAGGGACGAAGAAAGUGACGGUACCUGUUGAAUAAGCCACGGCUAACUACGUGCCAGCAGCCGCAGUAACAC
rnacentral:rRNA from 1 species